AUGCUUGCUUCGGCAGCACAUAUACUAAAAUUGGGAUGAUACAGACAAGAUUAGCAUGGCCCCUGUGCAAGAAAAAAAAAAAAGAAAAAAAAGAGGACCACUGUUCU
ensembl:snRNA U6 U6 spliceosomal RNA